UGCAAGUCGAGGGGUAGAGGAAGCUUGCUUCCUCUUGAGACCGGCGCACGGGUGCGUAACGCGUAUGCAAUCUACCUUUUACAAAGGAAUAGCCCAGAGAAAUUUGGAUUAAUGCCUUAUAGUUUAUGCUUGUGGCAUCACAUACAUAAUAAAGAUUUAUCGGUAAAAGAUGAGCAUGCGUCCCAUUAGCUAGUUGGUAUGGUAACGGCAUACCAAGGCAAUGAUGGGUAGGGGUCCUGAGAGGGAGAUCCCCCACACUGGUACUGAGACACGGACCAGACUCCUACGGGAGGCAGCAGUGAGGAAUAUUGGUCAAUGGAGGCAACUCUGAACCAGCCAUGCCGCGUGCAGGAAGACGGUCCUAUGGAUUGUAAACUGCUUUUAUACAGGAAUAAACCUACCCUCGUGAGGGUAGCUGAAGGUACUGUAGGAAUAAGGAUCGGCUAACUCCGUGCCAGCAGCCGCGGUAAUACGGAGGAUCCAAGCGUUAUCCGGAAUCAUUGGGUUUAAAGGGUUCGUAGGCGGUUUAAUAAGUCAGUGGUGAAAUCUCCUAGCUUAACUAGGAAAUGGCCAUUGAUACUGUUAGACUUGAAUUAUUGGGAAGUAACUAGAAUAUGUAGUGUAGCGGUGAAAUGCUUAGAUAUUACAUGGAAUACCAAUUGCGAAGGCAGGUUACUAUCAGUAUAUUGACGCUGAUGAACGAAAGCGUGGGUAGCGAACAGGAUUAGAUACCCUGGUAGUCCACGCCGUAAACGAUGGAUACUAGCUGUUCGACCGCAAGGUUGAGUGGCUAAGCGAAAGUGAUAAGUAUCCCACCUGGGGAGUACGUUCGCAAGAAUGAAACUCAAAGGAAUUGACGGGGGCCCGCACAAGCGGUGGAGCAUGUGGUUUAAUUCGAUGAUACGCGAGGAACCUUACCAGG
rnacentral:rRNA from 1 species